AUGGGAUUUUAUGAUUUCCUCAGGAACAUGAUUUCUCAAGCUACCACCCUCUUUCUAAGCACAGUUUUCUUCCGGCAGGAGUGCCUGUGUCCCGUUGGCCAGUGGUUGAUUUCAGUGUUGCUAGUGAAGCAGUUUGAGGACCUUGGCGAAGGCGAGGUGAGUAGAUGAGUAGUCCACAGAGCAUCAGGUAUGAUGUGCGCCUUUGGAAGCGUCAGGGAACGUGACCCCCCUCCUUCUGGUAUUUCCAUCCCUGAAUCUUCCUGCCUGUUUGAUCAUAGUUAUAGAUGAAAUGACCCAAAAGUAAGUGUCUUGAUGUAGACAAAAAUCAGGAAAGACCUUGGUGACUCAUGGUCAUUGCCCACAUUCCUGCUGUCUUCAGCGGGCUUUUAGGAAACGUACCGAUUCCAGAGCAGGCAGAUUCACAGCAAUCACGAAAGAUUUGUGCCCAGGAGAAAGCUGUCCUUGAACAAGGGGAAGGAGGUUGAGAACUGAAAAUGGUACGAAUCUUUUUUUAGUUAAUCCUCAUGGUACCACUUUCUUGGGAUGAAGUAACUUGUCACUAUCACUCAGCUCAAUGAAUUGAACGUUGCUACCAUAAAGCAAGUCAUACCAACUUGAGAAAGGCCAAGGUGUCCUAAAGAAAGAUCUUCUUUUCUGCCCUUGUGAAUGGCAGAUCUGAAAUUUAAACCCAGAGCAGUCUACCUUAGCCAUUUCUACUAGUUCUAUCUUUCUGUUUCUGGUAAACUUCAUCUGGUCAAUAAGAUUCCUCUUGUGAGUUGAUUUUGUUUGCGUGGAACUGACCAUAUAAUGAGUUGUAUUGGGAAGGUUGUUUUUUUUUUUUUAAUUUAAGUAGAUUUAUUUAUUUUGAGAGAGAAAGAGAGGAUGUGAGAGUGUGAGCUGGGGAGGCAGGAGACAGGGAGAGAGAGAAUCCCAACAGGUUCUGCGCUCGUAGCGCAGGUUUGAUGCGCAGGCUCGAUCUUGCAAACGGGGAGAUCAUGACCUGAGUCGAAAUCAAGAGUCGGACCCUUAACCGACUGAGUGAGCCACCCAGGCACCCUGGAAAGGUUUCUGAAGCUGAAUCCAGGUCAGUGAUCUAUUGCCGUGUAUUCUAAGGGUACAGGAACGGGUGGUAUGGGGGUUUAGUGGGGACAGAUUUGCCACACAAAUG
rnacentral:lncRNA from 1 species